rnacentral:rRNA from 1 species
UGAAGCGAGACGGCGACGUUAAGCAAAUCACAAAAAACCCAGUCCCAGUUCGGAUUGUAGGCUGCAACUCGCCUACAUGAAGUCGGAGUUGCUAGUAAUCGCGGAUCAGAAUGCCGCGGUGAAUGCGUUCCCGGGUCUUGUACACACCGCCCGUCACACCAUGGAAGUUGGGGGCGCCCGAAGCCGGCAAGCAAAUAUGCUGUCUAAGGCAAAACCAAUGACUGGGGUGAAGUCGUAACAAGGUACC